GCCCCGAUGGUGUAGUCCGGCCAAUCAUAUCGCCCUCUCGAGGCGAUGACACGGGUUCGAAUCCCGUUCGGGGCA
rnacentral:tRNA from 1 species